UACGUAGGGUCCGAGCGUUGUCCGGAAUUAUUAGGCGUAAAGGGUGCGUAGGCGGCGCGGUAAGUCGGGUGUGAAAUCUCGGAGCUUAACUCCGAAACUGCAUUCGAUACUGCCGUGCUUGAGGACUGGAGAGGAGACUGGAAUUUACGGUGUAGCGGUGAAAUGCGUAGAUAUCGUAAGGAAGACCAGUGGCGAAGGCGGGUCUCUGGACAGUUCCUGACGCUGAGGCACGAAGGCCAGGGGAGCAAACGGG
rnacentral:rRNA from 1 species